rnacentral:rRNA from 1 species
CCUACCGGGGGGCAGCAGUGGGGAAUAUUGGACAAUGGGGGGAACCCUGAUCCCGCCAUGCCGCGUGUGUGAAGAAGGCCCUCGGGUUGUAAAGCACUUUCAGUGAGGAAGAACGCCUGGUGGUUAAUACCCAUCAGGAAAGACAUCACUCACAGAAGAAGCACCGGCUAACUCCGUGCCAGCAGCCGCGGUAAUACGGAGGGUGCGAGCGUUAAUCGGAAUUACUGGGCGUAAAGCGCGCGUAGGUGGCUUGAUAAGCCGGUUGUGAAAGCCCCGGGCUCAACCUGGGAACGGCAUCCGGAACUGUCAAGCUAGAGUGCAGGAGAGGAAGGUAGAAUUCCCGGUGUAGCGGUGAAAUGCGUAGAGAUCGGGAGGAAUACCAGUGGCGAAGGCGGCCUUCUGGACUGACACUGACACUGAGGUGCGAAAGCGUGGGUAGCAAACAGGAUUAGAUACCCUAGUAGUC